rnacentral:misc_RNA from 1 species
AACAUCGCGCACCUGCGGGAACCUGCGGAAGGAUCAUUACAGAGUUGCAAAACUCCCUAAACCAUUAUGAACGUUACCUAAACCGUUGCUUCGGCGGGCGGCCCGGGUCCUUCCCGGCGCCCAUCGGCCCUCGCGGGCGCCCGCCGGAGGUAAACCAAACUAUUGCAUUGUAUGGCCUCUCUGAGUCUUCUGUACUGAAUAAGUCAAAACUUUUAACAAUGGAUCUCAGAUCGGAAGAGC